rnacentral:lncRNA from 1 species
AUAUUAGAUAUAUAAAUUAUUUUAAGAUUUAAAUUGAUAGGGACAUCGUACUAAUAUUAUAUGUGCAGGAGUCGGAAUUCGAAUCUCGGAUCAAAUACGGAUCCAGACAUAAAAUUUUGGUCUGGCCAAAAUCUUAAAGAAACUGCAUUAUAUUGAAAACAAGAUAUAAUAUUGUUAAGGGAAAUACAUUUACAAUGAAAAUCGUCUACUAUUCAUUUCUUGAAAAUGAGUUAAAAUAAUAUCAUUGUCAAUUGUUCCGAGAACAUCUUUUAAUUAAAGAAGAGAAGAAUUGACAAUCACAAUUGAAAAUCAAAAAGAAAAGAAAGGGAGAGGAUUGAUUCUCACCUGAAUUGAAUCUGACGAAGGAGAAGGAGGAAGAAUGGGAAGAACGGUGUAUGGAUGACAAUGGCGAUGGUGGACUGGACAGUGGUUCAACAUUUCAAGGAGUGAAGGAGAGGAGUCGAUAAGCAGUGAAAGACACCCGUACCAAGCUCGGACUAUAAUUUUUUUUUUUUGACAAAUUUGACAAAUGCUUAUUUUAAAAUUAGUGAAUAUUUGAGAAAUGAAAAAUUAAGGGUUUGAACAUGCAUCAAUUAUGUAUGAGGUUCAAAUCCCGGCUCCUGCAUAAUACAUGCGACGUCCUUAACAAUU